AACCUCCGCAAUGUGAGAAAUCGCGACGGGGGGAUCCCAAGUGCCAUUCUUAACGGGAUGGCUUUUCAUUAGUGUAAAGAGCUUUUGGAAUAAGGGCUGGGCAAGACCGGUGCCAGCCGCCGCGGUAACACCGGCAGCUCUAGUGGUAGCAGUUUUUAUUGGGCCUAAAGCGUCCGUAGCCGGUUUAAUAAGUCUCUGGUGAAAUCCUGUAGCUUAACUGUGGGAAUUGCUGGAGAUACUAUUAGACUUGAGACCGGGAGAGGUUAGAGGUACUCCCAGGGUAGAGGUGAAAUUCUGUAAUCCUGGGAGGACCGCCUGUUGCGAAGGCGUCUAACUGGAACGGUUCUGACGGUGAGGGACGAAAGUUAGGGGCGCGAACCGGAUUAGAUACCCGGGUAGUCCUAACUGUAAACGAUGCGACUUGGUGUUGGGGUGGCUUUGAGCUGCUCCAGUGCCGAAGGGAAGUCGUUAGUACGUCCGCCGUCGGUAGGGUAACGGUACGGUCGACGAAACGUAC
rnacentral:rRNA from 1 species